UACGGAGGAUGCAAGCGUUAUCCGGAAUUAUUGGGCGUAAAGCGUCCGCAGGUGGCUGUGUAAGUCUGCUGUUAAAGAGUCUAGCUCAACUAGAUAAAAGCAGUGGAAACUACACGGCUAGAGUACGUUCGGGGCAGAGGGAAUUCCUGGUGUAGCGGUGAAAUGCGUAGAGAUCAGGAAGAACACCGGUGGCGAAGGCGCUCUGCUAGGCCGUAACUGACACUGAGGGACGAAAGCUAGGGGAGCGAAUGGG
rnacentral:rRNA from 1 species